CGUAGGUGGCAAGCGUUGUCCGGAUUUAUUGGGUUUAAAGGGUGCGUAGGCGGUCUUUUAAGUCAGUGGUGAAAUACUUCAGCUCAACUGGAGAGGUGCCAUUGAUACUGGGAGACUUGAGUACUGAUGAGGUAGGCGGAAUGGACGGUGUAGCGGUGAAAUGCUUAGAUAUCGUCCAGAACACCGAUAGCGAAGGCAGCUUACUAAGGAGUAACUGACGCUGAGGCACGAAAGUGUGGGGAUCAAACAGGAUUAGAUACCCUGGUAGUCCACACUGUAAACGAUGAUUACUCGAUGUUGGCGAUACACAGCCAGCGUCUUAGCGAAAGCGAUAAGUAAUCCACCUGGGGAGUACGCCGGCAACGGUG
rnacentral:rRNA from 1 species